rnacentral:sRNA from 1 species
GUGUAGCCUCCGACCACCUCGAAGCCGUGCGACCAGGAGCCCGAGUACUCGCCCUGGCCCUUGGGCCCCGUGCAGAUGCCAUGCCCGUGCGCCUUGCCCUCCUCCCAGCCGCCGCAAAAGAACACCCAGGUUAAUGCCUGAUAAAGAAAGCAUGUAUUACCCACGGGUACAACAUUACCGAGAGCUGCUUGACUCCUUGCCAAUGGAUGCCUAUACACAUGGCUGCAUUUUACAUCCUGAGUUAACUGUGGACUCCAUGAUCCCGGCUUAUGCAACUACAAGGAUUCGUAGCCAAAUUGGAAACACAGAGUCUGAGCUGAAGAAACUUGCUGAAGAAAACCCAGAUUUACAAGAAGCAUACAUUGCAAAACAGAAACGACUCAAAUCAAAGCUGCUUGAUCAUGACAAUGUCAAGUAUUUGAAGAAAAUUCUUGAUGAGUUGGAGAAGGUCUUGGAUCAGGUUGAAACUGAAUUGCAAAGAAGAAAUGAAGAAACCCCAGAAGAGGGCCAGCAACCUUGGCUCUGCGGUGAAUCCUUCACCCUGGCAGACGUCUCACUCGCUGUCACAUUGCAUCGACUGAAGUUCCUGGGGUUUGCAAGGAGAAACUGGGGAAACGGAAAGCGACCAAACUUGGAAACCUAUUACGAGCGUGUCUUGAAGAGAAAAACAUUUAACAAGGUUUUAGGACAUGUCAACAAUAUAUUAAUCUCUGCAGUGCUGCCAACAGCAUUCCGGGUGGCCAAGAAAAGGGCCCCAAAAGUUCUUGGCACGACCCUUGUGGUUGGUUUGCUUGCAGGAGUGGGAU